UAUGAACAUUUUAGGGACAUUCAUCUCAUGAGGCUUUGAAAGGAGAGCAUAGAAGUAUAUUUGUGACUUUGGGGAAAUAAAGAUUUAUCUGAUGAGAUGUGGAAAACAAUAAAAUUAUCAUAAGUUUUUUAAAAAAACUAGACUUCAUCAAACUUUUGAUAUUCUUUUAAAGGUUAUAGAGGCAGUAAAAAGUCUGAUUUCCUUUGCAAAUAAAUAAUGUGGUAAUAGAAAAGAAACUAACUCCUGCACACCAACUAGGGAACAUUGAGGUGUUGACCUGUGAGAGAGUGGUGCAGAGAGAGCCCCGUAAGACAGGAAACCUUGCCUUGGCAGGGCGAAAUGACCAGGAGGAAAGUAGGAUUUAGACACACUGACAAGUUUCCUUAUAUUAUGCAGCACUAUGCAAUUUUCUAAGUGCUUUCAGAUGUUUACUCUUGACUCCCAUAAAAUCGCUGUGAGCUGAGCAGGGCUUAAUAUGAUUUCUACAUUCUAGAAGAGCCUGAGAUCACACGGCUGGGGAACCGUGGGGCAGGAUGGAGUGUGGGUCCUUCGUCUCUUGGCUUCCUGGGUGUCGGAGCUGGGUGUAAAUCCAAGCACCCACCCUGCAGCCUGUGCUCAGCCCACCGUGCUCCAGGCUGCUCAGGCUUUGUGCACGGAGUAGAGUCAGAGGCAACGGAAGAGGAGGUGGCAGCCAGCACUCUUGGGCCCGGGACCCUUGCUUGAGACUUGACAUGAAAUGGAAGAGAGUGCGAGAACUGGAAGGAGAUCACAGUAGCUCUGGCUUUCAGACACAAGUGUCUAUUUCCUCAGUCAAGGAGAAGCCUUCCUCACACCAUGAGAGGUGUGGACCUUGUAUCUCUUACAACAACCAAGGCUGGACACCACCUCCUAAUGUCGUUGGAAAAGCCAGUGCUCCACCUUAUGACCCAAACUGACUGAGAGAAUGUUUGCCAGGCCCCUGGCUGUCUACGAGGAAUGGGAGGCAUUAAUGGAUUAACUGAAUCCUGGCUCCUACAUGUUAGCCUGAGGUCAAGAGUUAAAACAACAUUGAAAUAUCUUCCUAAUCACAAAGAAAUUCCAAAUCAAGUCAUUUCAUUUGCACAGAAGUCUUGUAAAUGUGAUCUUUGCAGAGGGAAAGCACUCCAUGGAAUGAAGGGGAAGAAGGAGCAAGGGUACGGGUCCCAGUGGUCCCAGCCUGGACUCUUCCUAGCUGUUGAGCACAGCUGAAAGAACAGAGCAACACUCGAGGCCAAGGUGGAAAGAGCUUCCUUUCCUUGUAGGCCACUGACCUUACACUGGAACGAGCACCACCAGCAAACACCUGUGAUGCCAAUCGUCUUGCAGGCUCUGCAGAACCCCAAGAGGGCCCUCCAGGGGAGAACUGCUGGAACCCGGACCAGGGGGAGUUGUCCAGGAGUGGAACCAUCUGCCUAGCAGCAUGGGAGAGCAUG
rnacentral:lncRNA from 10 species